UAGGGAAUCUUCCACAAUGGGCGAAAGCCUGAUGGAGCAACGCCGCGUGUGUGAUGAAGGCUUUAGGGUCGUAAAGCACUGUUGUAUGGGAAGAAAUGCUAGAAUAGGGAAUGAUUUCUAGUUCGACGGUACCAUACCAGAAAGGGACGGCUAAAUACGUGCCAC
rnacentral:rRNA from 1 species